rnacentral:rRNA from 1 species
AGGGAUGACGGCCUUCGGGUUGUAAACCUCUUUCAGUAGGGAAGAAGCGAAAGUGACGGUACCUGCAGAAGAAGCGCCGGCUAACUACGUGCCAGCAGCCGCGGUAAUACGUAGGGCGCAAGCGUUAUCCGGAAUUAUUGGGCGUAAAGAGCUCGUAGGCGGUUUGUCGCGUCUGCUGUGAAAGACCGGGGCUCAACUCCGGUUCUGCAGUGGGUACGGGCAGACUAGAGUGAUGUAGGGGAGACUGGAAUUCCUGGUGUAGCGGUGAAAUGCGCAGAUAUCAGGAGGAACACCGAUGGCGAAGGCAGGUCUCUGGGCAUUAACUGACGCUGAGGAGCGAAAGCAUGGGGAGCGAACAGGAUUAGAUACCCCUGGU